UUCCGGUUGAUCCUGCCGGACCUGACUGCUAUCGGAUUGAUACUAAGCCAUGCGAGUCUUUGCAGUAAUGCAAGGCAUACGGCUCAGUAACACGUAGUCAACUUACCCUAUGGACGAGGAUAAUCUCGGGAAACUGAGCAUAAUACUCGAUAGAUCAUAAUGCCUGGAAUGGUUUAUGGUUAAAAUGAUUCGUCGCCAUAGGAUGGGACUGCGGCCUAUCAGCUUGUUGGUGAGGUAAUGGCCCACCAAGGCGAUUACAGGUACGGGCUCUGAGAGGAGAAGCCCGGAGAUGGGUACUGAGACAAGGACCCAGGCCCUAUGGGGCGCAGCAGGCGAGAAAACUUUGCAAUGUGCGAAAGCACGACAAGGUUAAUCCGAGUGAUUUCUGCUAAAGAAAUCUUUUGCAAGUCAUAAAACCACUAGUGAAUAAGGGGUGGGCAAGUUCUGGUGUCAGCCGCCGCGGUAAAACCAGCACCUCAAGUGGUCAGGAGGAUUAUUGGGCCUAAAGCAUCCGUAGCCGGCUCUGUAAGUUUUCGGUUAAAUUCAUGUGCUCAACGCAUGGGCUGCCGAAAAUACUGCAUAGCUAGGGAGUGGGAGAGGUAGACGGUACUCAGUAGGAAGGGGUAAAAUCCUUUGAUCUAUUGAUGACCACCUGUGGCGAAGGCGGUCUACCAGAACACGUUCGACGGUGAGGGAUGAAAGCUGGGGGAGCAAACCGGAUUAGAUACCCGGGUAGUCCCAGCUGUAAACGAUGCAGACUCGAUGAUGCAUUGGCAUAUAGCCAGUGCAGUGUCGCAGGGAAGCCGUUAAGUCUGCCGCCUGGGAAGUACGUACGCAAGUAUGAAACUUAAAGGAAUUGGCGGGGGAGCACCACAAGGGGUGAAGCCUGCGGUUCAAUUGGAUUCAACGCCGG
rnacentral:rRNA from 1 species